GUGUCAGCAGCCGCGGUAAUACGUAGGGACCAAGCGUUGUUCGGAAUUACUGGGCGUAAAGCGCGCGUAGGCGGUCUGAAAAGUCAGAUGUGAAAGCCCCGGGCUCAACUUGGGAACUGCAUUUGAUACUGUCAGACUAGAGUACAGAAGAGGUGACUGGAAUUCCCAGUGUAGCGGUGAAAUGCGUAGAUAUUGGGAGGAACACCAGAUGCGAAGGCGGGUAACUGGGCUGAUACUGACGCUGAAGUGCGAAAGCCAGGGGAGCGAACAGGAUUAGAUACCCUGGUAGUCC
rnacentral:rRNA from 1 species